rnacentral:rRNA from 1 species
AUGCGGCGGGCGAGCUGGAUGUCCUUGGGCAUGAUGGUGACGCGCUUGGCGUGGAUGGCGCACAGGUUGGUGUCCUCGAAGAGUCCCACCAGGUACGCCUCGGCCGCCUCCUGGAGGGCCAGCACGGCGUGGCUCUGGAAGCGGAGGUCGGUCUUGAAGUCCUGGGCGAUCUCCCUCACCAGGCGCUGGAAGGGCAGCUUGCGGAUCAGCAGCUCCGUGCUCUUCUGGUACUUGCGGAUCUCCCGGAGGGCGACGGUCCCGGGCCUGUAG